GACGAACGCUGGCGGCGUGCUUAACACAUGCAAGUCGAGCGGAAAGGCCCUUCGGGGUACUCGAGCGGCGAACGGGUGAGUAACACGUGAGUAAUCUGCCCUUCACUCUGGGAUAGCCACCGGAAACGGUGAUUAAUACCGGAUACGACCAAUCCCUGCAUGGGGUGUUGGUGGAAACUUUUUUGGGUGGGGGAUGUGCUCGCGGCCUAUCAGCUUGUUGGUGGGGUAAUGGCCUACCAAGGCUUCGACGGGUAGCCGGCCUGAGAGGGUGACCGGCCACACUGGGGCUGGGACACGGGCCAGACUCCAGCGGGAGGGAGCAGUGGGGAAAAUGGGACAAUGGGCGGAAGCCUGAUCCAGCAACGCCGCGUGAGGGAUGACGGACUUCGGGUUGUAAACCUCUUUCAGCACCGACGAAGCGCAAGUGACGGUAGGUGCAGAAGAAGGACCGGCCAACUACGUGCCAGCAGCCGCGGUAAAAC
rnacentral:rRNA from 1 species